CUGGUCUCAAACUCCUGGGCUCAAGUGAUCCGCCUGCCGCCCAAAGCGCUGCAAUUACAAGCAUGAGCCACCACGCCCAGCCGUGAAAAAUUAAUUCUUAAAAAAGUUAAAGAUGAAACCACAUAUAAAUUGCUAAAGGAAUCACCCGGUGAAAGUCAGACUGUGAUUAGUAGGUAUGGGGAGGAAGGAGAAGUUGAAAGACCCAGGCUGGGGUCAAACCUCUUUCAGUUACGUUUUUAAUCAAAUUAAGUCAAAACUAACGUUUCAUGUCUCUUUUGCUUAUUAUUGACAGCCGUGUUUAGCUCAGCCAUCCCCCACUGAAGCGAACUGUGUCAGUGCACUGUCAGAUGCAGCUUUGGAAGACAAUUGCUGUCCCUGCUGGCUUCUUCCCUCACGUGCCUGUGUUUCAAUGCCUGAGGGCUCCUCUGAGCCCACACACAGGACUGGCCAGAAUUGCUGGGAGGUAACACCCCAGGACAGCCUCAACAGAUGAGGGCUAGGAGCUGGUGAGUCCACCCGCCAGCCUCCUCACCGCUGCACAGUCUCUCAGAGGGGCCUUCACAGGACUGCGGCCCAGUUGUCCUCUGAGGUAUCCUGCUCGGCAAUGUGCCCUAUGUGGCUUUUCUCUCUUCCCUGUCUCACUUCCUUACUCUGCCUCCUAGAAUCAUUUCUUAAAUAGAUGAUUUGCCCAAAAUCCUUUGCCUCAGGGUCCACUUUUGGGCUAACCGAACUAAGACAUCUACAAAAUUUUAGA
rnacentral:lncRNA from 10 species